UGACUGGGGCGGUCGCCUCCUAAAGCGUAACGGAGGCGCGCGAAGGUUGGCUCAGAGCGGUCGGAAAUCGCUCGUUGAGUGCAAUGGCAUAAGCCAGCCUGACUGUGAGACUGACAGGUCGAACAGAGUCGAAAGACGGCCAUAGUGAUCCGGUGGUCCCGAGUGGAAGGGCCAUCGCUCAACGAAUAAAAGGUACUCCGGGGAUAACA
rnacentral:rRNA from 1 species